ACGCUCGACACCUACGGGGGGCAGCAGUGGGGGAAGUAUUGCACAAUGGGGGAAACCCGUACGAUGCAGCGACGCCGCGUGAGCGAAGAAGUAUUUCGGUAUGUAAAGCUCUAUCAGCAGGGAAGAAACUGACGGUACCUGACUAAGAAGCACCGGCUAAAUACGUGCCCGCAGCCGCGGUAAUCUGAGCGGGCUGGCAAGGC
rnacentral:rRNA from 1 species